AAGUAUACGUAACAUCUGAAAAUAACACUGAUGAAUUACCGGGGUUUACGUCUUUUUCGGAAUUACCUCAGAGCGGUGAAUUAAUCAUAUGCCAGGGCAACGGGAAUUAUCUGAUAAAAAAAGCCGAUAUUAUUAUCGGCUUUUUUAUC
rnacentral:sRNA from 1 species